AUGAGGCACCGUCAAGCUCUCUCGUGUCUCACCCUCCUCCUCUUCAUCCUCGUCUCAUCCAGCGCUUCCACUCUAGGUGACACAUGCAAGUCCGUCGCCGCAAGAAACAAGGACAUCUCCUACAACUACUGCAUAUUGUUCUUCCAGGCCAACAACACCAGCACCACCGCGGACAAGCGCGGCCUCGUCGUCAUCGCCACAAAGAUCACCCAAGCAGAGGCCGCAAACACCCGUGAGCGCAUCGAUGCCCUAAUGGCCUCGGGGACGGACAAGAAGGUCAACGGGUGCCUCUCCGAGUGUCGCGUGCACUACACGAUCGCGCUGAACUGGCUCGAAGCCGCGGCGAAGGGCAUUGAGUCAGGUAAUUUGCAGGACGCAGAGGUGACCCUCAGAGGAGUGAUAUUGGGCAUCGACACCUGCGAGGAAGGGUUCCGCAAGCUAGGCAUCAAGUCGCUUCUGGCCGCCGAGGAUGCCACGUUCACUGCAGGCUGCUCCAUCGCUCUCACUAUAACGAGCAUGUUGUAA
rnacentral:rRNA from 1 species